GUGCUCACUUCAGUAGCACAUAUACUAGAAUCAGAAUGAUACAGAGAAGAUUGGCAUGGCCCCUGCUCAAGGAUGACGUGCAAAUUGGUGAACCAUUCCAUAUUUUA
ensembl:snRNA U6 U6 spliceosomal RNA